rnacentral:lncRNA from 1 species
AGAGCUGACUUCAGACCUCUGGCCUCCAGAACCACAGGUGAGAAGCUCCUGUUCCAAGCCACCCAGAGUGGCAUUGAGAGUCACCCGAGGACACAAACACAGCGCCAGCAAAAAAUAUGUCUGCAGAAGACCAGGCUCCCUGGGACCUGAUGCUCUCGCUGCGUGACCAUGCCGGCUGUGCUUGCUGCCUGCUCCCCACUCCCGGGGGCCCACGCUCUCCACGCUCUCCAGGCAGGAUCCCGGUUAAACCUCGAGGUUACUGUCUCCACACGACAGGGAGGGCCGGAGGCCCAGGCAGGUGGGUAGCCUGACUCGCUCCUGCAGGGUCUGACGUGGAGGGCACCCCCAGCCACUGCUUCACCCCAAACUGAAACUCCGUCCCCAGUGAACCCCUGGUCCCCACUGUUCCCACCCCUCCCCUGGCAACCACUGUUCUUCUCUUCUCUUUGGCACACCUUAGACCACACCAGGCGCGUACCAAUGAGCUACAUCCAGAACCCUUGUUUAAAUUUUGAGACAGUGUUUGUGUAAGUUCUCCAAACUGUCCUCUAAGUUGCCCAGGCUGGUCCUGGUUUUGUGAGCCCCCUGACUCAGUCCCCACAAGCCCCAGUGGCUGGGAUCACAAGCACGUGCCACCAUGCCUGACUGCCCCUUCUCUCCUUUCUAUCUCUGUGAAUCUGACGGGAACCUCGGAUAAGUGGAGUCCUACCCCACUCAUCUUCUUGUGACUGGCUUCUUUCAUUGAGCAU